rnacentral:tRNA from 1 species
UGCUAGGUGGCUGAGUAUAAAGCGGUAGACUGUAGAUCUAUCAAUGGAAUUAAGUUUCCCCAGCUGU